AAAGUCGUAACAAGGUUUCCGUAGGUGAACCUGCGGAAGGAUCAUUAACGAGAUCAUGCCCUCACGGGUAGACCUCCCACCCUUGAGUACUAUACCUUUGUUGCUUUGGCGGGCCGCUUCGGCCACCGGCUUAGGCUGGUGAGUGCCCGCCAGAGGACCCCAAACUCUGAAUUAUGUGUCGUCUGAGUACUAUACAAUAGUUAAAACUUUCAACAACGGAUCUCUUGGUUCUG
rnacentral:misc_RNA from 1 species